AAUAUUGCGCAAUGGAGGGAACUCUGACGCAGCCACGCCGCGUGAGCGAUGAAGGUUUUCGGAUCGUAUAGCCCUGUCCUUGGGGAAGUAGGCGGCCAUGUAUGGUCAUUUGACGGUACCCAAUUCUUACGCCCCGGCUAACUCUGUGCCAGCAGCCGCGGUAAUACGUAGGGGGCAAGCGUUGUCCGGAAUUAUUGGGCGUAAAGGGUGCGUAGGCGGCCUUUUAAGUCAGAUGUGAAAGAACACGGCUUAACCGUGGGGUUGCAUUUGAAACUGGAGGGCUUGAGUAUCGGAGAGGGUAGUGGAAUUCCCAGUGUAGCGGUGGAAUGCGUAGAUAUUGGGAGGAACACCAGUGGCGAAGGCGACUACCUGGACGAAAACUGACGCUGAGGCACGAAAGCUAGGGGAGCAAAC
rnacentral:rRNA from 1 species